rnacentral:rRNA from 1 species
AGUGAACGCUGGCGGUAGGCCUAACACAUGCAAGUCGAACGGCAGCACAGUAAGAGCUUGCUCUUACGGGUGGCGAGUGGCGGACGGGUGAGGAAUACAUCGGAAUCUACUUUUUCGUGGGGGAUAACGUAGGGAAACUUACGCUAAUACCGCAUACGACCUACGGGUGAAAGCAGGGGAUCUUCGGACCUUGCGCGAUUGAAUGAGCCGAUGUCGGAUUAGCUAGUUGGCGGGGUAAAGGCCCACCAAGGCGACGAUCCGUAGCUGGUCUGAGAGGAUGAUCGGCCACACUGGAACUGAGACACGGUCCAGACUCCUACGGGAGGCCGCAGUGGGGAAUAUUGGACAAUGGGCGCAAGCCUGAUCCAGCCAUACCGCGUGGGUGAAGAAGGCCUUCGGGUUGUAAAGCCCUUUUGUUGGGAAAGAAAAGCAGCAGGUUAAUACCCCGCUGUUCUGACGGUACCCAAAGAAUAAGCACCGGCUAACUUCGUG